GGAAGGAAAGCCAAGCUCGGCACAGUCUUCAAAAGCAUUUGCACAUCUGAGAGGUGGAUCAGCUGUGGUCCAUGAAAAUGAGUUUGUGCACUGGAACAUAGAUGAUGACACUCUUCUUCAUGACAUCGACCACAGAGGGGGGAGACUUGUCAUUCAGAAAGAGGGUUAUUACCAUGUUUACUCCAAGAUUUCGUACAUAAACACCACAAUGUUUUACCACAGUGUUAUGCUCACCGGUCCUCGUUACAAAGAGGAUAUUACUCUCAUUAAGUCAUGGAAAAACUCAGUUCAGAGUUUAGAUCAAUCCAACAGUUGCCUGGAUGGAGUGUUUCACUUAACUAAAGGCUGCACCAUUUUUGUCAAAGUGAGCGACACCUCAAAAAUUUUCAAGAAUCCAACACAGAAUUACUUUGGUGCAUUCAUAAUCUAAACAGCUCCCAGUGUGGAUUGGAAUUUGAAAUUAGCAAAAACACAGUAAAUAUAACAAAUGGCGGGCUCUGUUUAAUAAUUGUGCUUUAGAACAUGGCGAAUGUAAACAGAAAGUCCAUAUACAGACAUCUAUCAGUCUUACUGUGAUACUGAAGAAAACAUAAAAAUGUGAUGAUUUUAAAUGAA